rnacentral:rRNA from 1 species
UACGUAGGGGGCAAGCGUUGUCCGGAACUAUUGGGCGUAAAGAGCGUGUAGGCGGUCCGGUAAGUCAGCUGUGAAAGUCAAGGGCUCAACCCUUGAAUGCCGGUUGAUACUGUCGGGCUAGAGUCCGGAAGAGGCGAGUGGAAUUCCCGGUGUAGCGGUGAAAUGCGCAGAUAUCGGGAGGAACACCAAUGGCGAAGGCAGCUCGCUGGGACGGUACAGACGCUGAGACGCGAAAGCGUGGGGAGCAAACAGG